UUUAAUUUAUCUACAUGGUGAUGUUUUUAAUAAUAUAUGAUAAACCCAUAGUUUUAAGCGAUGCUUUUAGAAUUAUGAUGAGAUCAUGCUUGUAGCGUCCCCCGAUCCGGGUCCCGAAUCGCCGCGGAUCCGGUUCAAUCAUUCUACAACUGUUUGCGGAAGAUAUAAACAUAGAUUGUUUAUACAUUAAACUUUACACGCUAUUCCCAAAAUCGAGUAACCUUAACUAAUACACAAUCGUGAACUGUCUAACACAUAACAAUACUAUUCUUCAACCAUACUUUUACAAAUUAGCUGUACAUUCUAUCCCAAGCUGAACUUGGCAUUUUCCUUUUCCUGUAACUGGCCGUAUUCGCCUUAUCUGCAAUGUUUUAUCAUGAUAUAGCAAGGGUGAGCAUGAAAGUUGCCCAGCAAGUUUAAAAACAAUGCAAAGAUAUAUCAUGAUGGAAAGAGUUUGAAUAAUAAGCUGACUAUCCUUCACAAUGUAUUUGUGAAUUAGCAUGAACAAAGUUUUGACUGAACAAGUAUUUAACAGGAAUAACAAUAUAUCUGGACCAACUGGUAAUGAAGGUGAUCAGCCUUUCAUACCCGACUUAUACAUACAAGAUGUACAGAGUACAAUUCAUAAGCAUAUCUGUCUGAAACCACUCUUAAAAGAGUUUAAGUAAAAAGAACUUGAAAAACUUNNNNN
rnacentral:lncRNA from 1 species